rnacentral:rRNA from 1 species
UGGGGAAUAUUGCACAAUGGGCGCAAGCCUGAUGCAGCCAUGCCGCGUGUGUGAAGAAGGCUUUCGGGUUGGAAAGCACUUUCAGCGGGGAGGAAGGCGGUGAGGUUAAUAACCUCACCGAUUGACGUUACCCGCAGAAGAAGCACCGGCUAACUCCGUGCCAGCAGCCGCGGUAAUACGGAGGGUGCAAGCGUUACUCGGAAUUACUGGGCGUAAAGCGCACGCAGGCGGUCUGUCAAGUCGGAUGUGAAAUCCCCGGGCUCAACCUGGGAACUGCAUUCGAGACUGGCAGGCUAGAGUCUUGUAGAGGGGGGUAGAAUUCCAGGUGUAGCGGUGAAAUGCGUAGAGAUCUGGAGGAAUACCGGUGGCGAAGGCGGCCCCCUGGACAAAGACUGACGCUCAGGUGCGAAAGCGUGGGGAGCAAACAGG